rnacentral:rRNA from 1 species
AGAAUGAACGUUGGCGGCGUGGAUUAGGCAUGCAAGUCGAACGGAUCCGGUCUUCGGACCGGGUUAGUGGCGUAAGGGUGAGUAAGGCGACGGUAACCAACCCCGAGAUUGGGUAUAGCCGCGGGAAACUGCGGGUAAUCCCCAGCGACGCGUCGGGCCGGCAUCGGCUUGACGUCAAAGUUUCGGCGUCUUGGGACGGGCUGUCGUGGUAUUAGGUAGUUGGCGGGGUAAUGGCCCACCAAGCCUUCGAUGCCUACCGGGCGUGCGAGCGUGGCCCGGCACACUGGGACUGAGACACUGCCCAGACACCUACGGGUGGCUGCAGUCGAGAAUCUUCGGCAAUGGGCGCAAGCCUGACCGAGCGACGCCGCGUGGAGGAUGAAGGCCUUCGGGUUGUAAACUCCUGUCGAGGGGGAGGAAGGGGCAACCUUGACCUAUCCCUGGAGGAAGCACGGGCUAAGUUCGUGCCAGCAGCCGC